GAGGAGGAGAUAAGCUUCCAGUGCAAGACGCUGAAUGUUACAGGAACUCAAAUCGAAGCUGAGCCUGGGAACUGCAGUUCUUUUAGUGUGGUUUGGAUUCCACAGACCUGAGAUACAGAUGGAAGGGUCUGGGACCCUGGUACAAAGUGAAGACGGCGGCAUUGGAUAAGCCACCACAGAAGGGGAAGAACCUGACUACCUAUUUCAGGAAGGCAGCGGUUCUUCGUGGAUCACACUGAGGGAGCACGAGUUGUCGAAGCUCCUGGGGCACAUUCACACCUAUGUCUAG